rnacentral:rRNA from 1 species
GUAGUCUCGCACAGAUGCAUAUCAAUAAGCGGAGGAAAAGAAACUAACAAGGAUUCCCUUAGUAACGGCGAGUGAAGCGGGAAGAGCUCAAAUUUGAAAUCUUCAAGGUUUUACCUUGACGAAUUGUAGUUUAAAGAAGUGUUUUCUGUUGAAGUUUUGGUAAAAGUUCUUUGGAAUAGGACAUCAUAGAGGGUGAGAAUCCCGUAUUUGACCAUUAUUUUCAGCUGUGUGAUACACUUUCAAAGAGUCGGAUUGUUUGGGAAUGCAGUCCAAAAUGGGUGGUAAAUUUCAUCUAAAGCUAAAUAUUGGCGAGAGACCGAUAGCGAACAAGUACCGUGAGGGAAAGAUGAAAAGAACUUUGAAAAGAGAGUUAAACAGUACGUGAGAUUGUCAAAAGGGAAGCGUUGACACCAGUGUUGUUUUCUCGAAAAUCAAUUAAAAAGAGUUAGAUUUUGUUGUGUAUUGACCUUAACAGCUUGCAUUUCAAUUUUCUUGCUUUUUUUAAUGCACUUUUCGUUUAACAAGUCAACAUCAGUUUCUUUUGUUGUAAAAAGGUCAUUGGGAAGGUGGCUUUCUUUUCGGAGAAAGUGUUUAUAGCCUUUGACUCCUGCAAUCGGAGAGACUGAGGUCUGCAGCGUAGAUCCUUCGGGGUUAGAUACAUUUGUGCUAAGUUAUAGCUUUUUAUAGACAACUUGUUGACUAUGAUUAGUCUUGUAGCUUACUCGCUUAUGCUAUUUUACCUACGCUUAGGAUGUUGAGCGCAUGUCUCUCUCU